UACGUAGGGUGCGAGCGUUAAUCGGAAUUACUGGGCGUAAAGCGUGCGCAGGCGGUCUGUUAAGACCGAUGUGAAAUCCCCGGGCUUAGCCUGGGAACUGCAUUGGUGACUGGCAGGCUUUGAGUGUGGCAGAGGGAGGUAGAAUUCCACGUGUAGCAGUGAAAUGCGUAGAGAUGUGGAGGAAUACCGAUGGCGAAGGCAGCCUCCUGGGCCAACACUGACGCUCAUGCACGAAAGCGUGGGGAGCAAACAGG
rnacentral:rRNA from 1 species